AGGCAGCAGUGGGGAAUUUUGGACAAUGGGCGCAAGCCUGAUCCAGCAAUGCCGCGUGCAGGAUGAAGGCCUUCGGGUUGUAAACUGCUUUUGUACGGAACGAAACGGCCUUUUUUAAUACAGAGGGCUAAUGACGGUACCGUAAGAAUAAGCACCGGCUAACUACGUGCCAGCAGCCGCGGUAAUACGUAGGGUGCGAGCGUUAAUCGGAAUUACUGGGCGUAAAGCGUGCGCAGGCGGUUAUGUAAGACAGAUGUGAAAUCCCCGGGCUCAACCUGGGACCUGCAUUUGUGACUGCAUAGCUAGAGUACGGUAGAGGGGGAUGGAAUUCCGCGUGUAGCAGUGAAAUGCGUAGAUAUGCGGAGGAACACCGAUGGCGAAGGCAAUCCCCUGGACCUGUACUGACGCUCAUGCACGAAAGCGUGGGGAGCGAACAGGAUUAGAUACCCUGGUAG
rnacentral:rRNA from 1 species